CGGGGGUUUAUUGAGUUGAUUUUGGAGGGAGCCAUUAAUAUCUCGUCUACCAUCGGAAGGAACACAUUUUGAUCCAGCAAUCGGUCACCGGAAGUCCACAUUCACCAUGUGAAGAAUUUGAUGCUAGAAUCAAACAUCUCGGAUGACACGUUCAAGGUUAUUGAAGCAUUGGGGGAUCCUAAUAAUGACAUCUCUAAUUCAUUAAGGUGGAUUGCAGAUGGAGUAAACUCAGAUGUACCAACAUUUUGUAGUUGACCUACUUAAGGCAAUAAUGAAAACUUCGGAGCUCCACUUCAUAUGAUAAUGGUUCUUGUCGAAUGGUAGAUUUCCAGAUUGAGAAAUUGAAUAGGGUUCUUCGGGGGUUCAUUGAGUUGAUUUUGGAUGCAGCCAUUAAUAUCUCGUCUACCAUCGGAAGGAACACAGUUUGAUGUAGGUAAGCUUUCAUCAAUAUUCAGCCAACAUAUCUUCAUGAUAUGAAUUUUUAUGGAGGUGAAGAUGUGAAGUUAAGUGAUUCAAUCAAUGAUGUAAGGGUGCUAAGUUUACGGAAGUAUUUAGCACUCGGUCACCGGAAGUCCACAUUCAUCAUGUGAAGAAUUUGAUGCUUGAA